AUUGAACGCUGGCGGCAGGCCUAACACAUGCAAGUCGAACGAGUGGCGGACGGGUAAGUAAUGUCUGGGAAACUGGCUGAUAGAGGGGGAUAACUACUGGAAACGGUCGCUAAUACCGCAUACCAUCGAAUGUGCCCAGAUGGGAGUAGCUAGUAGGUGGGGUAAAGGCUCACCUAGGCGACGAUCCCUAGCUGGUCUGAGAGUAUGACCAGAAACACGUGAAAUGAGACACGGUCCAGACUCCGACGGGAGGCAGCAGUGGGGAAUAUUGCACAAUGGGCGCAAGCGUGAUGCAGCCAGGCCGCGGGUCUGAAGAAGGCCUUCGGGUUGUAAAGUACGUUCAGCGGGGAGGCGUUACCCGCAGAAGAAGCACCGGCUAACUCCGUGCCAGCAGCCGCGGUAAUUC
rnacentral:rRNA from 1 species